GAUGAACGCUGGCGGCGUGCCUAAUACAUGCAAGUCGAGCGAACGGACGAGAAGCUUGCUUCUCUGAUGUUAGCGGCGGACGGGUGAGUAACACGUGGAUAACCUACCUAUAAGACUGGGAUAACUUCGGGAAACCGGAGCUAAUACCGGAUGAUAUUUUGAACCGCAUGGUUCAAAAGUGAAAGACGGUCUUGCUGUCUCUUAUAGAUGGAUCCGCGCUGCAUUAGCUAGUUGGUAAGGUAACGGCUUACCAAGGCAACGAUGCAUAGCCGACCUGAGAGGUUGAUCGGCCACACUGGAACUGAGACACGGUCCAGACUCCUACGGGAGGCAGCAGUAGGGAAUCUUCCGCAAUGGGCGAAAGCCUGACGGAGCAACGCCGCGUGAGUGAUGAAGGUCUUCGGAUCGUAAAACUCUGUUAUUAGGGAAGAACAUAUGUGUAAGUAACUGUGCACAUCUUGACGGUACCUAAUCAGAAAGCCACGGCUAACUACGUG
rnacentral:rRNA from 1 species